rnacentral:rRNA from 1 species
GUGCCAGCCGCCGCGGUAAGACGUAGGAGGCGAGCGUUAUCCGGAUUCACUGGGCGUAAAGCGCAUGUAGGCGGCUGUCCAAGUCAUGUGUUAAAGCCCCCGGCUCAACUGGGGGAGGUCAUGUGAGACUGGUCGGCUUGAGGGCAGCAGAGGCACGUGGAACUCCCGGUGUAGCGGUGGAAUGCGUAGAGAUCGGGAAGAACACCCGUGGCGAAGGCGGCGUGCUGGGCUGCGACUGACGCUGAGAUGCGAAAGUGUGGGGAGCAAACGGGAUUAGAAACCCCCGUAGUCC